rnacentral:rRNA from 1 species
GAUGAACGCUGGCGGCGUGCCUAACACAUGCAAGUCGAACGGAGUUACUUUAGUGAAGUUUUCGGAUGGAUCUGAUUUAACUUAGUGGCGGACGGGUGAGUAAUGCGUGAGCAACCUGCCCUUCAGAGGGGGACAACAGUUGGAAACGGCUGCUAAUACCGCAUAAUGUAUCCGGGAGGCAUCUCCUGGAUACCAAAGGAGAAAUCCGCUGAUGGAUGGGCUCACGUCUGAUUAGCUAGUUGGUGAGGUAACGGCUCACCAAGGCUGCGAUCAGUAGCCGGACUGAGAGGUUGAACGGCCACAUUGGGACUGAGAUACGGCCCAGACUCCUACGGGAGGCAGCAGUGGGGAAUAUUGGGCAAUGGGCGAAAGCCUGACCCAGCAACGCCGCGUGAAGGAAGAAGGCCUUCGGGUUGUAAACUUCUUUUAAGAGGGACGAAGAAGUGACGGUACCUCUUGAAUAAGCCACGGCUAACUACGUG